AGUGAACGCUGGCGGUAGGCCUAACACAUGCAAGUCGAACGGCAGCACAGUAAGAGCUUGCUCUUACGGGUGGCGAGUGGCGGACGGGUGAGGAAUACAUCGGAAUCUACUUUUUCGUGGGGGAUAACGUAGGGAAACUUACGCUAAUACCGCAUACGACCUACGGGUGAAAGCAGGGGAUCUUCGGACCUUGCGCGAUUGAAUGAGCCGAUGCCGGAUUAGCUAGUUGGCGGGGUAAAGGCCCACCAAGGCGACGAUCCGUAGCUGGUCUGAGAGGAUGAUCAGCCACACUGGAACUGAGACACGGUCCAGACUCCUACGGGAGGCAGCAGUGGGGAAUAUUGGACAAUGGGCGCAAGCCUGAUCCAGCCAUGCCGCGUGGGUGAAGAAGGCCUUCGGGUUGUAAAGCCCUUUUGUUGGGAAAGAAAAGCAGCAUGUUAAUACCCCGCUGUUCUGACGGUACCCAAAGAAUAAGCACCGGCUAACUUCGUG
rnacentral:rRNA from 1 species